GACGAGGGAUCCUAGCGUUGUUCGGAAUUAUUGGGCGUAAAGCGUAUGUAGGCGGCUUUGUAAGUCAGUUGUGAAAUCCCUGGGCUCAACCCAGGACGUGCAAAUGAUACUGCAAAGCUUGAGUAUUGGAGAGGGUAGUAGAAUUCCUGGUGUAGUGGUGAAAUACGUAGAUAUCAGGAGGAAUACCGGUGGCGAAGGCGGCUACCUGGCCAUAUACUGACGCUGAGAUACGAAAGCAUGGGGAUCAAACAGG
rnacentral:rRNA from 1 species